rnacentral:rRNA from 1 species
UACGAAGGGGGCUAGCGUUGCUCGGAAUCACUGGGCGUAAAGCGCACGUAGGCGGCUUUUUAAGUCAGGGGUGAAAUCCUGGAGCUCAACUCCAGAACUGCCUUUGAUACUGGGAAGCUUGAGUCCGGAAGAGGUGAGUGGAACUCCGAGUGUAGAGGUGAAAUUCGUAGAUAUUCGGAAGAACACCAGUGGCGAAGGCGGCUCACUGGACUGGUAUUGACGCUGAGGUGCGAAAGCGUGGGGAGCAAACAGG